AUUAUCUAAAUUCAAAUUCUAGUUUCACAAAUUACAGAAUUAAGGUAUGAAAAGGAGAGGUGCACUUCCUAAAAGCAUAUGGAUGUUUGAUACAAAUGUUUACUUCUAUGAUGCUUGGGAUAUACUUUGUUAUAAUCCACUCAUUCCUAGUUAAAAAAAAAAUCCUGUAUAUGGAUAUUCAAACUCUUAAAUGUUUUGAAGACUGAGGAGCUAAGGUAAAUCUUUUUAUUUUUCCAUUUUGAUAACAGUGAUGAUGAAAGCCUCCAUCCUUUCUCCUUCUAAAUCUCUAGAAAUGUGAGAAGAUUGAAUAGUUUCUAAAAGCUCUUAAACCAUAUAAGACAGAGUGGUUAAUCGGCUACAUUACAGCUAUCAUUUUGUAAUGAAGAUCUGAGAUAGAAAGGGGGAAAAAAAGACACAUGCCUCCCUCCAUCAUUGAAAACUCACAUAUAAAGUAGAAGGAGAGAGCUAGGAUCAACAAUCAUGUCAGGAUGGAAAGCAAACUUCAAAGAAGAUUUGUUAUCAAAGAUUUGACAUCACCUCUGAGUGUCAAGAUAUGAUGGAUUGUCCAGAGCUAACAGGGUUUAUCAUUCCCGUCAUGGUCAUGGGAUCUUCUGGGCUAGAGAAUUAAGCUUUCAGAUGACACUGUUGAAGUUUGGGUCUAGCAGAAAGAGGAUAUGGUGCAGAGGGAUGCAAAGCCAUAUCAUACAGGCCCUUUUCCAUGAUCCCCAAAGUUAAGGCCUCCUCUUAUGAACUCUCUUCCUUCGAUACAUCCAUCUUCCUUGGACUUCAUUUAUUAAAUACUGUCUGGAUGUCUGUCCUCCCCAGUGGCUUAUCAACUCCCUGAGAAACAAUGUCUGUCAGAUCUUCCGUCUAUCACACUGCGUAAGAGAUAGUAGAUAAUCAAUAAAUACUUGUGGUAUACAAUACUACAUAUUAGGAUUACACAUGAAUUAAAGGGCACUGUCAAGGAAGAUUCUAGAAACAUCUUCUCCACAAUUUUAAUAUUGAUCUUUUGUUAAGCACUAAUUUUUUAACUUUAUCGUGUUCUUCGUUAUUAACAUCAUUUGCUUGGAUUACAUAAAAUUGGUUCUCAUUUAUGAGAGAUCAUAGAAAGUAGGCAGAUAAACACAAAGCUGGCCACAGUUUCCCUCAGCUCCAAAUUUCCGGUCCAGGUAAAAACAGAAAUGAUGUCUCCUCAUUCUUCCUGCUAAUUCUUUCUAUUAAAAAUGGGUGGGCAGAGUCAAAAAUCUCCCUAGUUUGUGAAGCCCAUUUUUUUCAGGAGCAACAGGCAGAAAGAUGAAAUCAUGGAAGCCACCAGAAACAGGUAACUUAAAACACAAACACCAAAUCUCUGUCUCGGACAGUGGUGUUUACAAAAGCAAUCUGGAAAGUAGCCUUAAAAAAAAAAAAAAAGCCUUCAACCUGCUAUACAAGAGGCAGGAUUUGAACAAACAAAGUCAGUGACUCCUACAGAGCUGCCACUCAAAGAGUGACAAACACAACUUUGUCUCCCAGGGACAGGUGACACCAUCCCACAGGCGCCUCCCCAGCAAGGAGUGAAGGGCUUCAUAUUUAUUCUUCUGUGGCUAAGCCACCAUAGGCCUCUUUAAAACAAUGCAACUUUAACACCCAAGGAAUUUGGCUCUAGGGGGAAAUCUUAUAUCACUUCUUUUGUAGAAGCUGGGUGGCAUGGAAAUAUGCCAAAAGCCACAUGUAAGAAAAUGAAAAGAAGUGGAAAAAAAAAAAUUGGGGUGAUUAUCCAAGAAAAAGAUUCUCAGCCAAAUUGGGAGACAGGAACCUAUAGGUCUUAGGAUGCACCUUGGCUAGGUUUGGUAAAUAUGGGGUUUCUACAAACUGAGCUUUAUCUCUUCUGGGUGCUCUCUUGGUCUGCAGAGACGACAAGGGAAUUUUUGUAAAGCAAGCCCCCUGGGGUGGGAGGGUAGAGCCAAGAUGCUUAUGGAGCCACACCCUGCAAAUCCAUCCUAGAUUUUCAUGUGCUGCCAUCUUUACUGGAUGCACUUGAGCCGCUUUUUUGUUUAUUUUUCUUGAUGUUCCCUCCUGGGAACAUUGAACGAUUGGGUUGGCACAAGCAGCAUGAUAUUCAUUCUCUGACACUUUCUGGUUGUGCCACAUUAGGCAAGAAAUUUAGUCAUUUCUUAAAGUCCCAGUGUCCCCGUCUGUAGUAUGGAGGUCAUGAUCCAAACAUCAUUGAAUGGUUUUAAAGAUUGAAUGAAAUAAAUUAUGUAAAGGAUCUGAUAUAAGGGGGCAAAUAUUAGUUUCCUUCUUGUAGCCUCUGUUCCUUUCCUAAAUCCAAAUUCUCCUCAUUAACCGACAGGAACCACUUGGUGAGAAUUAUUUGAAUAGGCCAAGUCUGAAAGAUGAAUAAAAGAAGAAUUUCUCUUUUGCAGUGGGAGAAGUCUGGAAACUCAGAAUAUAACUAGCAUUCUUGCAUCAUUGGGGUAUUUGUCUCUCUCUCAAUAAUCAAAGCAAUGAUAGCAAUGAUAGCCUACAUUUGAGAAGCUGCUAUACUUGAAAAUCACCCAAGAGGUAUGUGGAGACUUUAAUUAAAAGUCUAAGAAUUCUGGGGGAAAAAAUUAAAAGAGAUUGAAAAAUAAGGACAGAAAUAGGGAUUUCUACCUUAGGAGAUAUGUUCUGUUUGGUGUACCCGGUUUAUAAUGCGGCAAUAAGAGUAAUUAAAAUAGAAAUUACUAAAAUAGUAAUAAUAGCUGCCGUUUCUUAAAUACUAAGUAGUGCUAGGCAUUCUACUAGCCACUUUACAUAUGUCAUCGCAUGGAAUUCUCAGAGCAAGCCUCUGAGAAAGGUGUUGUUAUUAAUGUAUGUUAUUGUUAUUAAUGUAUAUAUCUUAAAGAUAUAUACAUUUGCUGCUGACCCUGAUAAAGUAAAAUAGAUAAUAAAAAAAAUUCUAAAAUUUCCAUUAAACAUUCUGUGUUUGAAAUCUUUAUGGUAUGAGUCUUGGGCCAAUCCAUUGAAAACUCCAAGUUCUAUUGGUCAGCUUUAACGUUGGUUUGCGUUUUAGGGAUGAUUCUCAAAUCUUAACAUUAUAGAUAUCUGUCUUCUUUACAAAGCAGAAGAGCAGGCCUCUAGUUCCAUCUGUGGCAUCAGGCAGCUUGAAAGUUCUCACCCUUUUGCUGGGACUCGGUUUUGUGAUCUAUACAAUGGGAGCCCUGCAUCCCAUUUUUUUCUGCCCAUACUCCCUGGGGCUCCUCCCAGAACCCUGGACCUUCACUGAACACAGUCUGAAAAUCCCCAAACUAGCACAUCCCCAAGGCCCUUCCAGGUCUGCAAUUCUGCAAUGUUAUGAUUUCAUGUAAAUUUAAUAAUAACAAUAACAAUAUUGAAUAUGGAAAAUCUGAUGCAAAAAGAAACAGUCAUAGCACACAGUCCAAAACCCAAGACAAAUGACACCUUGGGUAUUCAUUUUUGUAUUAUCUGUGCUAAAAUGCCUCUCAGCGGACAUGGGUAAUUAGGGGUUCCACGGUGUGGUUUUGGUCAGCCUUCAGUAAUUUGUACUUUUGCAUCCACAAACUCAACCAUGGAAAUAUCCCAGAUCCCAGCCCUCUGACCUCUCGUCAGAACUACUGUCAGGAAUUAAUGGCUGGAGCACUAAGAGACAACCGUUAUUACAAAAUGCCAUUAUAUUUUGUAUAUAAAAUAUUGCUUAUCAGAGCACAGUUGCUGAUGCCCUCCAGGGCCUGUUCCUCAAUAACAAACAAUGCACGGGCAGAGGGAGGGGGCAUACCUGAAUUUAUCUCCUCCUGGUUUCAUUAUACACCAGUUCAUUUUCCAAAUUAUUUAACCCUUUGUUUUGGCGUCUGACUUCAGAAAUUAAAACAGCUCUGUGGACUCUUACAUAAAUAACUGGAUUUGCAUUGGGCCAGACUUUGGGAAACCAGUGGCAUCCAAAAGGAUAAUCCAAGUCAGGGAACCAGAGAACAUGUUCCUGGCUUGAGCCUUCAGAUCCUAUUCAAAGCAUGUGAACUUCUUCUCUGGUUUGCCCACCAGAGUUGUUAUAAAAAAACUUGGUUGGUUGCAAGUUAAACUGGGACUGCAGAUAAAGCAAAAUGGCAGUGCUUAAAGUCAUCAAUCAGAAGCACAGCAAGACAUAUGCUGAAUGUAGCACCUCAAAGUGAAAACAGAUGGACUAAUGUGUAUUGAUCUCCAAUGGCUUGUUGACACCCUUUUGAAACAGAGGCAAUAAAGGGCAUUGAGGGAGUGCUUUAAGUGGUGAGGGGGAAACCAUGGGGAAUUAGAAAAUCUGGGGCAAGGACUCUUUGGUGAACUCUGCGCUUCGAUUUAGAAUGUCACCCUGAAGUCUUUUUUAGCCAACAGCUGGGAUGAAGGGAAGGUGCCUGGGGGAGGGGGGAGGUCUCCAUCACCACCUUACCAAUUUCUUUCAUUAUCUCAGCUUUCCCAGUUCCUCAGCCUCUGGAUAGAUCAACAGCAAUAACACAAUAACACCAGUUACCACGGGCUAUUUAUUCAGGCAGGACCUCAGCCCUCUUCCCAAUAAAUGCACUUUACCUUUUCUUAUAGGUCUCUAUUCUGUGUCUCAAUUAUGAUUAGGGACCACACAGAUCAGAUGCCACAAUCUCUUUCCAAGCAUUCACUAUGCACAUUUACCAUAUCCAGGGGCCAUUGCUCCUCCCUUCUCCAUGAUGCUCUGGAGUCCUCCAAGUGCCAUUAUUAAGAGCAGGGCUAGAGAGCAGUGAGGAAGCAUUCCUUGAGCCUCUUUUCUUAUGUUACUUCUACAAACAGUGCCUUUGGUCCAGGCUGACUGGCUUACAGAUGGCACAGGACACCAAGCCAUCCAGGAGAGAGUGAAAGUUGUCAGAUUAGCACUUCCCAACUAGUAGAAAAAGCACCUGCCACAGAAGGAACUACAGGUAGUGAAUGGAGUUCUCCUUAUGGAAAUCCUCAGGGGUAUUAACCUUAAAUCAUAACUCUCAUGGGCAAAAUCAGGCUGGAAAGAGAUUUUGAUCACGGUUUCUGUUUCUAUCCCUUUCUACUUCUUCCCUUAUCCCUCUUUCCAUCGGAGAUACAGGAGGGCAGUCUCUUUGGUCUUUUGGCUGUUUGGUCUCUUUGGCUGUUUCUUAAGUAUGGUCAAGUGGUUACUGAUGAAACCAACUCGUGCUAAAGGAUCUUAAAAGAAGGUAGGUAAGCUGGGGGUGAGGGAGGCAUGGGAUAUAUUUGAGAAUUAAAUUGCUAACAAAAUUGGACCAGGGAGUUCCCAUUGUGGAUCAGAGGGUUAAGAACCCAACUAGUAUCCAAGAGAAUUCAGGUUCAAUCCCUGGCCUUACUCAGUGGAUUAAGGAUCUGGCAUUGCCGUGAGCUGUGGUGUAGGUUGCAGACUCAACUCGAAUCCCGCAUUGCUUUAGCUGUGGCAUAGGUUGGAAACUGCAGCUCAGAUUUGACCCCCCAGGAACUUUCAUAUGCUGCAGGUGGG
rnacentral:lncRNA from 1 species